rfam:Biomphalaria glabrata isolate BB02 unplaced genomic scaffold LGTN_random_Scaffold2034, whole genome shotgun sequence.
GUCGCUGAGCGGUAAAGCGCUUGCCUUCUGAACCAGUGGUCCCGGGUUCGAAUCCUGGUGUAGACU